AUUUAGAGCUAAAACAAAGGUUUUAUGGGACUUGGAACGAUAAGGACAUUAUGGUAAUUUUACGUCAUGAGAGAUAUUUUUUCCGUUUUGUCUUUUCUUGCUUUGUUUGGUGUGCCAGUGGGGCCCACCCUCUUUUGGUGUCUCCCGACUCUCUCUUUUUCUUCCUUGUCUUUUCUCUGCUUUCACUCCUUGGUAAACUCUCCCACUUUCUUUGUCUUUUUCUCUCAUCUUUGCAACUCUCUCUCCGAGAUUGCACAACCAACAACGACAGUACUACCUCCACCACCAUUAGCCUCGCCAUUCCAUCGAGCACCAUCACCAUCUGUGGACCCUCCUUCCUCCCCUUCUCGCCUCUCUCUUGACAAUUAUUGUUCAUCAUUUUCUCCGACAAACCACAGCGAGUCAUCAUCGUCCCCAACGUAGGUAAGCUCCUAAAAUCUUCUAGAUCGUGUUUUAGUUUAGAUUAGAGUAGUUGGUAAAAUUUCCUAGAUUUAUGGAUUUUGAAACCAGGGCCGUUUGACCACUUUCAAACACCUUUUUUCGACCAACUCCGACCAUGUCACGGCCUCUAAUGGGUGCGUUGGUUGGUCGUGACCCUAUCCUCCCUAGUUCGAGUGGCUCCCAAGGAGUGGAAUAUUUAGAUAUUGGGGUCGAGGCGUGUCAUGUCAAGCUAGCUUUAAUGGAAUCAUCCAUCUUCUGCUACUACUAUCCACAAGGCCUAUUCGGUAAUGGAGGAAUUUUGGACUGCCAACCCUGUAGCACAUUCUCGGGUCUCUCAAGGCACGGUCGCUCUUUCAACUUAGAUCUUUCCUUCUAUUUCAGUGCUGAAAAUCAACUGUGAUGCCUCCUGGACCAAGCAAUCAGGUUCGACAGGUUUUGGAGUUGUUAUUAAGGAUACUUCUGGUUCUGUGAUGGCUAGGAAUUGUGGGACAUCUUCUUCUGCUCUUUAAGCUGAGGCUAAAGCUGGGGUUAUGGCUAUUCAGACGACUAUCCAUAAUAAUAUCACUAAUGUUAUUUUUGAA